rnacentral:rRNA from 1 species
CAGCAGCCACGGUAAUACGUAGGUCCCGAGCGUUGUCCGGAUUUAUUGGGCGUAAAGCGAGCGCAGGCGGUUAGAUAAGUCUGAAGUUAAAGGCUGUGGCUUAACCAUAGUACGCUUUGGAAACUGUUUAACUUGAGUGCAGAAGGGGAGAGUGGGAUUCCAUGUGUAGCGGUGAAAUGCGUAGAUAUAUGGAGGAACACCGGUGGCGAAAGCGGCUCUCUGGUCUGUAACUGACGCUGAGGCUCGAAAGCGUGGGGAGCAAACAGGAUUAGAUACCCCCGUAGUCCCUGUCUCUUAUACC